rnacentral:lncRNA from 1 species
CCCCCUCCUUGCACUCCGACGUCUCGCGGCCCCGAGUCCACACCUUUUUUUCCCCCUUCAUCGGUGCCUCCUUCCCAGCAGUUCCUCCCUCUCCAGUGCUUCCUUCCCGAUGGUUCUUCUCUUCUUGCGCUCUAACGUUCCGUGGCCUCGAGCUCGCACUUCGGCCACUCCCACGACUACCCCGCCCUCAUCGGCCCCGACCCUG